rnacentral:rRNA from 1 species
UAGGGAAUUUUCGUCAAUGGGCGCAAGCCUGAACGAGCAAUGCCGCGUGAGUGAGGAAGGCCUUCGGUCGGUAAAGCUCUGUUGCGAGGGAAAAAAGGAACGGAAGAGGAAAU